UGGAUCAGUAAAAAAGUGGAGAAAUAUGUUCUUCAUUUUUCACAUUUCACUCUUAUGAUUUGGCAGGGCAUUAAUGUUAAAACUACAGAAAUGCAAGACGCAGCAAAGUCAUUUUCAUCAUUGACAAAUCAAGUGCUCCUAACAACAGAACAAGAUAGACGAAGUUCAUAAAAGGCACUCAACAAGUGGAUUCAGUUUACCCGAUUUUUGUUGGGAAAAAAACUUGUAUUUAAGUUUGUUUUAUAGUUUUGUAUAUUCUCUUUAGAAUUGUGAUCCUUUCCUCACACACAUUUCUAUUAGUUUCAGUUGUUAUUCAGUGUUCAAAUAUUCACAAAUAAAUAUACAUGUAAAAUAGCCGAGUUGAUGAGAACAGGACCAAAAUGAGCAUUAAGAAAUUGAUCUAACAAUCUUACGAAUAAGGUAAAUUAUUGCAUUGAUUCUUUAAUCUUCAAAUAAGCUAGUAAACAUGAAAGAAUCAAAUUAAAAUUUUAAAACAAUUAAAGCCUAGUAAGCUUCGAAGCAAAAGCUCCUACUGAAGUCGUUGCUCAAAUUAUGAAAUCUAUUAAGGUUAAAUACUCAAUUACAGGAUUACUGUUUAAGAAUAUAAAAUAACUGCAGCGCUCUUAAUUAUGAGUAAAAUGAAACAUUACCACGUAAAACACAACAAAACUAUUCACAAACAAAAUGCAGCAUAUUAGGAGAAUCGGUUCAGUGAUUGUGGAAGCCCCCAACUCUACCGAUACUAAUAUAUUCUUUAUCCGAAGGACAAAAGAACCAUCUUGUGUGGAAUCCUUGCGAGUAUAUGAAAUUUUCAAUUCUAAAUAGUAAAAUUAAAAUGUAGUUCAAACUUCAGUUACUUCCAUUUCAGUUUUCAGUUUUCACUGUGCUAAAUUGGCGGCCUUUCACUGUGACAACAAACUAAAUUAACUCAGGAAAUUCAGAAAAUUGAUCGGCAAGAGAAAAAGUAUAAUAGAGAAACCAAGUAUGUGAUUGAAGAUACUAGAGAGGUUAACUAUAAGUACAUAAUCAUGAUACUAUUAACCCUAAUUAACAUCAUUCACUAAUCUAAACCUAAAGAGAGAACAUAACAAGAAUUAAAAAGCUAAUAAUAAGCAAGAUAUUGGAAUUGGGUAAGAAUCCUAUCGAAUACUAAAUAGAACCCUAAUUAUCCGAAAAUGCU